AUGAUAGAGGUCUGAUUUUAUAACCUUCAUCACAUUCGGAAGCUCGGCCAACGAACUGAAGACUUCAACACCAAAUAAGAAAUCCAGCAAGAUCUACCUGAAGAACAUUUAGCAUAGAAAACUUCAGAUUGUGAUAAAAAGAAAAAAUCAAAAAAUAUCCAUUUUUUUAAACUACCAUUCAAAUCGAUGUUAAAUGCAACGCCUCUGUCGUCUUCAUCCUCUUCUCUAUCUCUACAGUUUUAGAGAGAGAGAGUUGAGAGAGAGUAGACAGAGAUAUUGAAAGGCUGAUGUGUGAUAAGAACCUUCAUUGAAACGACGAUGUUUGAAAAAUGAUACUGGAACGAUAACAUGUAGCCAUAAUCACGAGAAAGAUGGAUUUGAGAGGGAGAGAGAUACGAUCACAGAUGUGAGCGGGAGAGAUUUGAAUGUGGAGCCAGAUUAUUAACCCUUAUUUAUAGGAUUAAAAUAGAAUAUAUGGUUUGAAUUUUAAAUGUGGAGCCAGAAUUUUGAAUCUCAACAGAUGUUUAUUGAGAACUGAUGUUUGAUUAUAAAAUGUUGAGGGCAGAUGUUUGAUUAUAAAAUAUUGGGCAGACGUUUGAUUAUAAAAUAUUGAGAGAGAGUAGACAGAGAUAUUAAGAACUGAUGUUUGAUUAUAAAAUAUUGGGCAGACGUGUCCCCUCAGCAGACCUUUAGAAUCUAAAUGUGGGCCAACUUUGAAUUUUAAAGUGAUUUAUAUAUUGGCUUUAUGAUGUAAUAAUAAGAUAAGAAAAGACUUGUUGGACAUCCUCUCCUGCUAACACAUCAGCUUUUCUUAUAUUACUUGAAUUUUUUUUUAAAGAAAGUAUAGAUAGUAUAGAUAGAUGAAUAUCACUUGUACCUAAAAUACCGCAUGCAAUAAUGAUAGCAAAUCGACCAAUUAGAUAUUGUAUAGAUAUUUGUCUUACUUUUUCAGUUGACGUGUUUUAUGACGGGCAUUA
rnacentral:lncRNA from 1 species